rnacentral:rRNA from 1 species
GACGAACGCUGGCGGCGUGCUUAACACAUGCAAGUCGAACGGAAAGGCCCUGCUUUUGUGGGGUGCUCGAGUGGCGAACGGGUGAGUAACACGUGAGUAACCUGCCCUUGACUUUGGGAUAACUUCAGGAAACUGGGGCUAAUACCGGAUAGGAGCUCCUGCUGCAUGGUGGGGGUUGGAAAGUUUCGGCGGUUGGGGAUGGACUCGCGGCUUAUCAGCUUGUUGGUGGGGUAGUGGCUUACCAAGGCUUUGACGGGUAGCCGGCCUGAGAGGGUGACCGGCCACAUUGGGACUGGGAUACGGCCCAGACUCUUACGGGAGGCAGCAGUGGGGAAUAUUGCACAAUGGGCGGAAGCCUGAUGCAGCAACGCCGCGUGCGGGAUGACGGCCUUCGGGUUGUAAACCGCUUUCGCCUGUGACGAAGCGUGAGUGACGGUAAUGGGUAAAGAAGCACCGGCUAACUACGUG